UCCUUUCUGUGAAAGGGUGCAUUGGACAGCAACAGUGGGGCUUCACCUGUAGCAUCACUUUCUCUACCUUAGCAAGGAGGAGGGAAUUAUCUGGUUGGAAAAUUUCAGAAAAAAAAACUAGCUCUUCCUUAUUGUCCUCUUAGAUGUUAACUCAUCAGCAGAAAUGUGAGUUCUUGCCAGCUUCUCCAUGUUGUAAGUCUUAUGUGGCACCACUGCCUGGGUUGGCUGUGUUAAUCUACCUGCCAGAGGGUUGAGGGUGGGAGUACCUGAAACCGUUGAAUCCUGCAAAUACAAACCACAGCUUCCAUUUAGUCUUUAUCUGUCAUACAGGUUAUAGUUGCACUUUCCAAUCUGCAACUCUUAUGUCUUGUUUCUGUGCGAAGAAUGUGGGUGUGGAUGGGCAUAUUUAUUCUGUCCUGUGAUAGUUAAUUUUAUGUGUCAACUUGGUGAGGCUAUGGCACCUAGUUGUUUCAUCAAACACCAGUCUAUAUGUUGCUAUGAAAAUAUUUUUAGAUGUGAUUAACAUUUAAAUCAGUUGACUUUAAGUAGAGCAUAUUUGUGUCCAUAAUGUGGGUAGGCCUCAUUCAAUCAGUUGAAGGCUUCCAGAGCCAAGACUGAGAUUUCCCAAGAAAGCAGCAAUUCUGACUCACGACUGCAACAUACAAACCCUGCCCAGUUUCCAAACCUACCAACUCAAGGUUGCAACACCAACACAACUGAAUUUCCAGCCUGCCAGCUUGCUCUACAGAUGUAGACUGGUUAGCUCCCACGGUUGCAUAAGCUAAUUCCCUGAAAUAAAUCUCUCUCUCAUAUAUGUCUCCUAAUGCUUCUGUUUCUCAGAAGAACUCUGGCUUAUACAGUCGCUCAUGAUCCCUGCACAUAAUGACUAAUAACUGUGGCUGAUAUCACUGAGUCCUCAACUAAUCCUCACAAUUACUUACAAGACAUAAAGGCUGUAGAUUCAGCAGCCAUUUUGGAACAUGAAGCAAUGUUAAGAAUUGAAGACAUAUAAUAGUAUUGUAGAGUGUAAAGAUACGGAGAGUUUGGGUCCUUCGUGAGCAGGGAAUUAUUCCCUCCAUAUUGAACUACCUACAUCCAGAAUUCUUUGAUGUAAAGAAGAUAUACAUUUCUGUCUCACUUCAAACUUCUUCAGUUUUUGUUUCCAUGUAUGUGUUCUACUCAUCUCAAUCUGAAGACGACUAACACAUCCCCCAAGUUUAUCAUUAAAACCUAUGAACUAUAUUAUUCCAAUAAUAAUGUUUCUUUGGCCAGGUGUGGUGGCUCAUGCCUGUAUUCCCAGCACUUUGGGAGGCUGAGGUGGGUGGAUCACGAGGUCAGGAGAUUGAGAGCAUCUUAGAUAAAACAGUAAAACACCAUCUCUACUAAAAAUACAAAAAAAAUUAGCCAGGCGUGUUGGCAGGUGCCUGUAGUCCCAGCUACUUGGGAGGCUGAGGCAGGAGAAUGGCAUGAACCCAGGAGAUGGAGCUUGCAGUGAGCCGAGAUCAUGACACUGCACUCCAGCCUGGGUGACAGAGUGAGACUCCAAUUCAAAACAAAACAAAACAAAACAAAAAUAAUGUGGGCAGCGGUUCCAAGAUGGCUGAACAGGAACAGCUCCAGUCUACAGCUCCCAGCAUGAGCGACACAGAAGAUGGGUGAUUUCUGCAUUUCCAACUGAGGUAAAGGGUUCAUCUCACUGGGGCUUGUCAGACAGUGGGUAGAGGACAGUGGGUGCAGUGCGCCAAGCAUGAGCCAAAGCAGGGUGAGGCAUUGCCUCACCCGGGAAGUGAAAGGGGUCAGGGAAUUCCCUUUCCUAGCCAAGCAAAGCUGUGACAGACAGCAUCUGGAAAAUCGGGUCACUCCCACCCUAAUACUGCACUUUUCCAAUGGUCUUAGCAAAUGGCACACCUGGAGAUUUUAUCCAGUGCCUGUCUUGGAGGGUUCCAAGCCCGCGCAACCUUGCUCAUAGCUAGCACAGCAGUCUGAGAUCAAACUGCAAGGCAGCAGUGAGGCUGGGAGAGGGGCACCCACCAUUGCUGAGGCUUAAGUAGGUAAACAAGUGACUGGGAAACUCAAACUUGGUGCAGCCCACCGCAGCUCAAGGAAGCCUGCCUGCCCCUGUAGACUCCACCUCUGGGGGCAGGGCAUAGCCAAACAAAAGGCAGCAGAAACCUCUGCAGACUUCAAUGUCCCUGUCUGACAGCUUUGAAGAAAGAAGUGGUUCUCCCAGCAUGGAGUUUGAGAUCUGAGAAUGGACAGACUCCCUCCUCAACUGGGUCCCUGAAUCCCAAGUAGCUUAAUUGGGAGGCACCCCCCAGUAGCGGCUGACUGACACUUCAUAUGAUCAGGUACCCCUCUGAGACGAAACUUCCAGAGGAACAAUCAGGCAGCAAUAAUUGCUGUUCAGCAAUAUUUGCUGUUCUGCAGCCUCCCCUGCUGAUACCCAGACAAACAGGGUCUGAAGUGGACCUCCAGCAAACACCAACAGACCUGCAGCUGAGUGUACUGACUGUUGGAAGGAAAACUAACAAACAGAAAAGACAUCCACACCAAAACCCCAUCUGUACAUCACCAUCAUCAAAGACCAAAAGUAGAUAAACCGCAAAGAUGGGGAAAAAACACAGCAGAAAAGCUGAAAAUUCUAAAAUUCAGAGCAUCUCCCCCCCUACAAAGGAAUGCAGCUUCUCACCAGCAAUGGAACAAAGCUGGAGAGAGAAUGACUUUGACGAGUUGAGAGAAGACAGCAUCAGAUGAUCAAAAUUCUCCAAGCUAAAGGAGGAAGCUCAAACCCAUCACAAAUAAGGUAAAAACCUUGAAAAAAGAUUAGGCGAAUGCCUAACUAGAAUAACCAGUGUAAGUAAGUCCUUAAAUUCUCUACAUAGAUUGACCUGAUGGAGCUGAAAACCAUGGCACGAGAACUACAUGAUGAAUCCACAAGCUUCAGUACCCAAUUCGAUCAACUGGAAGAAAGGGCAGAAGUGACAGAAGAUCACAUGAAUGAAAUGAAGUAAGAAGAGAAGUUUAGAGAAAAAAUAAUAAAAAGAAAUGAACAAAGCCUCCAAGAAAUAUGGUACUAUGUGAAAACACCAAAUCUACGUCUGAUUGGUGUACCUGAAAGCCAUGGGGAGAAUGGAACCAAGUGAGAAAACACUCUGCAGGAUAUUAUCCAGGAGAACUUCCCCAACCUAGCAAGGCAGGCCAACAUUCAAAUUCAGAAAUACAGAGAAUGUC
rnacentral:lncRNA from 10 species